rnacentral:rRNA from 1 species
UCAGAGCGAACGCUGGCGGCAGGCUUAACACAUGCAAGUCGAACGGGCGUAGCAAUACGUCAGUGGCAGACGGGUGAGUAACGCGUGGGAACGUACCUUUUGGUUCGGAACAACACAGGGAAACUUGUGCUAAUACCGGAUAAGCCCUUACGGGGAAAGAUUUAUCGCCGAAAGAUCGGCCCGCGUCUGAUUAGCUUGUUGGUGAGGUAAUGGCUCACCAAGGCGACGAUCAGUAGCUGGUCUGAGAGGAUGAUCAGCCACAUUGGGACUGAGACACGGCCCAAACUCCUACGGGAGGCAGCAGUGGGGAAUAUUGGACAAUGGGCGCAAGCCUGAUCCAGCCAUGCCGCGUGAGUGAUGAAGGCCCUAGGGUUGUAAAGCUCUUUUGUGCGGGAAGAUAAUGACGGUACCGCAAGAAUAAGCCCCGGCUAACUUCGUGCCAGCCGCCGCCGU